rnacentral:rRNA from 1 species
AACAAACGCUGGCGGCGUGCCUAAUACAUGCAAGUCGAACGGGGAAAGCUUUCGGGUGAGUACUAGUGGCGCACGGGUGAGCAACGCGUGGAUAAUCUGCCUUAGAGUGGGGGAUAACUAGUCGAAAGAUUAGCUAAUACCGCAUAAGACCACAAGAACUGCGGUUCAAGAGGUCAAAGGUUUUUCGCUCUAAGAUGAGUCCGCGUAAGAUUAGCUAGUUGGUGAGGUAACGGCUCACCAAGGCAACGAUCUUUAACUGGUCUGAGAGGAUGAUCAGUCACACUGGAACUGAGACACGGUCCAGACUCCUACGGGAGGCAGCAGUAGGGAAUAUUGCACAAUGGAGGAAACUCUGAUGCAGCGACGCCGCGUGAGUGAUGAAGGCCUUCGGGUCGUAAAGCUCUGUCGCAGGGGAAUAACACAAUGAAUGUACCCUGUAAGAAAGGAUCGGCUAACUUCGUGCCAGCAGCCGCCGCAGUAA